rnacentral:rRNA from 1 species
GUUUGAUCAUGGCUCAGGACGAACGCUGGCGGCGUGCUUAACACAUGCAAGUCGAACGAUGAACCACUUCGGUGGGGAUUAGUGGCGAACGGGUGAGUAACACGUGGGCAAUCUGCCCUGCACUCUGGGACAAGCCCUGGAAACGGGGUCUAAUACCGGAUAACACUUCGGGCCUCAUGGUCUGUGGUUAAAAGCUCCGGCGGUGCAGGAUGAGCCCGCGGCCUAUCAGCUUGUUGGUGAGGUAAUGGCUCACCAAGGCGACGACGGGUAGCCGGCCUGAGAGGGCGACCGGCCACACUGGGACUGAGACACGGCCCAGACUCCUACGGGAGGCAGCAGUGGGGAAUAUUGCACAAUGGGCGAAAGCCUGAUGCAGCGACGCCGCGUGAGGGAUGACGGCCUUCGGGUUGUAAACCUCUUUCAGCAG